rnacentral:rRNA from 1 species
CGAACGCUGGCGGCAUGCCUAACACAUGCAAGUCGAACGAAGGCUUCGGCCUUAGUGGCGCACGGGUGCGUAACGCGUGGGGAUCUGCCCUUUGCUUCGGAAUAACAGUUAGAAGUGACUGCUAAUACCGGAUGAUGUCGUAAGACCAAAGAUUUAUCGGCAAAGGAUGAACCCGCGUAGGAUUAGGUAGUUGGUGGGGUAAAGGCCUACCAAGCCGACGAUCCUUAGCUGGUCUGAGAGGAUGAUCAGCCACACUGGGACUGAGACACGGCCCAGACUCCUACGGGAGGCAGCAGUGGGGAAUAUUGGACAAUGGGCGAAAGCCUGAUCCAGCAAUGCCGCGUGAGUGAUGAAGGCCUUAGGGUUGUAAAGCUCUUUUACCAGGGAUGAUAAUGACAGUACCUGGAGAAUAAGCUCCGGCUAACUCCGUGCCAGCA